AAUUGAUGAUGAGUGUGAUAACAUAAGGGAAAAAAAUGAUAUCACCUUAUUAUAAGUGUUGUCCAAAACUGGUGCCAGAAGACUCGGUAAGACCAGAGACGCGAACGUUAGUCAUCUUAAUCAGGCGUAAAGGGUGUGUAGGCUGCUUUGAAAUUUUAAAUCUUUCUAAUAGCUCUGUUGCAUUUCGGAAGUGUGGAGUUGGUGACAAAGACAAAGCAAAGAAGGAUGUAAGAGAGAAGAUAUAAAACAAUUAAAGCUAGAAUCAAAUGUAGGAUAAGCCGAAUAAUACUUAGAGUAGGGGUUAUAUCCGCAGAUACUAAGGGGAAUACUAACGGUGAAAGCUUUUAUCUAGUAUUGAUUGACGCUGAGAAACGAAGGUGAGAAUAGGAAAUAGGAUUAGAUACCCAGAUACCUCUCACUGUCAACGAUGAAUGGUGAUUUGUUAGUUUUUUAAAGAACUAGUAAUGAUGUUAACACGUUAACCAUUCCGCCUUGCGAGUACGGUUGCAAAACUGAAACCAAAAAAAUUAGUCGGUCUCGAAGCAAACGAAGUGAAGCAUGUUAUUU
rnacentral:rRNA from 1 species